CCAAAGGCUCUUUUCAGAGCCACCAACAAUUUCAGUUGAAAGCGC
rfam:Nomascus leucogenys chromosome 8, whole genome shotgun sequence.